rnacentral:rRNA from 1 species
GAUGAACGCUAGCGGUAUGCUUAACACAUGCAAGUCGUACGGGAGUUUUUAACUCAAGUGGCGGACGGGUGAGUAACACGUGAGAAUUUACCUUUAGGAGGGGGAUAACAAUUGGAAACGAUUGCUAAUACCCCAUAUGCUUUUUUAAGUGAAACGGAUUUAUUCGCCUAAAGAAAAGCUCGCGGCUGAUUAGCUAGUUGGUAAGGUAAUGGCUUACCAAGGCGACGAUCAGUAUCUGGUUUGAGAGGAUGAUCAGACACACUGGAACUGAGACACGGUCCAGACUCCUACGGGAGGCAGCAGUGGGGAAUUUUCCGCAAUGGGCGAAAGCCUGACGGGGCAAUACCGCGUGAGGGAAGAAAGCCUACUGGGUUGUAAACCUCUUUUUUCAGGGAGGAAAAAAAUGACGUGUACCUGAAGAAUAAGCAUCGGCUAACUCCGUG